UCCUGACGACCAUAGCGGUUUGGAACCACCUGAUUCCAUCUCGAACUCAGAAGUGAAACGAACCCGCGCCA
rnacentral:rRNA from 1 species